rnacentral:rRNA from 1 species
GACGAACGCUGGCGGCAUGCCUAAUACAUGCAAGUCGAGCGAACAGAUGAAGUGCUUGCACUUCUGACGUUAGCGGCGAACGGGUGAGUAACACGUAAGGAAUCUACCUAUAAGCGGGGGAUAACAUUCGGAAACGGGUGCUAAUACCGCAUAAUAUCUUCUUCCGCAUGGAAGAAGAUUGAAAGACGGCUCUGCUGUCACUUAUAGAUGACCUUGCGGUGCAUUCGUUAGUUGGUGGGGUAACGGCCUACCAAGACGAUGAUGCAUAGCCGACCUUAGAGGGUGAUCUGCCACAUUGGGACUGAGACACGGCCCAAACUCCUACGGGAGGCAGCAGUAGGGAAUCUUCCGCAAUGGGCGAAAGCCUGACGGAGCAAUGCCGCGUGAGUGAAGAAGGCCUUCGGGUCGUAAAACUCUGUUAUAAGAGAAGAACAAAUUGUAGAGUAACUGCUACAGUCUUGACGGUAUCUUAUCAGAAAGCCACGGCUAACUAUGUGCCAGCCGCCGCCGUAA